GACGAACGCUGGCGGCGUGCUUAACACAUGCAAGUCGAGCGGUAAGGCCCUUUCGGGGGUACGACGAGCGGCGAACGGGUGGGUAACGACGUGGGUGACCUGCCCUCCAGCUCUGGGAUAAGCCUGGGAAACGUGGGUCUAAUACCGGAUAUGACUCCAUGACGCAUGUUGUGGGGUGGAAAGCCUUGUGCGGCUGAGGAUGGGCCCGCGGCCUAUCAGCUUGUUGGUGGGGUGAUGGCCUACCAAGGCGACGACGGGUAGCCGGCCUGAGAGGGCGACCGGCCACACUGGGACUGAGACACGGCCCAGACUCCUACGGGAGGGCAGCAGUGGGGAAUCUUGCGCAAUGGGCGAAAGCCUGACGCAGCGACGCCGCGUGAGGGA
rnacentral:rRNA from 1 species